UUUCAGCGAAUCAAAUAUUGAAUAAUUCAGAGAUUUUUGUCUAAAAGCGAGUGUUUGUGUGACAGUAAGAUGAGUCUUUAAUAUGCGGGAGGUUUUUGUACAGCCUCUUAACGAGUUUGUAUCACUGUGGUACACUUUUGGUGGAGGCACCAAACUCAUCGUUGACUUGGGAGUGGUGCAGCCCACGCUGAGCGUCCUCCCUCCCUCCAGAGUGGAGCUGGAGCAGGGCAGUGCUACACUAGUUUGUGUGGCCAGUGGGGGCUUCCCCUCAGACUGGAAGCUUGGCUGGAAGGUGGGGGGCAGCAGCAGGUCUGGGGGGGUGUCAGAUAGCCUGGGGGUCCUGGGGAAAGAUGGCCACUACAGCUGGAGCAGCACCUUGACCCUCCCUGCAGACCAGUGGAGGAAGGCGGGCUCAGUGAGCUGUGAGGCCAGUAAGAAUGGCCAGACGCAGCCUGUCACUCAAACCCUGAAUCCUGGAGAGUGUUCAGAGUAGAGAGGCUCCAGCAUGGAGGUACUGGAGAAUACAGAUCUCCUCUGACACGUCUGCUUUAUGUCUCUCUGUCUCAGGUGGCACUGCAUCUUGUGAUGAUUUACAUUAAUAUAACACGUCCUUGAUUCAUUAACAUGAUGCUCUCUGGAUUUUACGCCAUGCUUGUG